rnacentral:rRNA from 1 species
GAUGAACGCUAGCUACAGGCUUAACACAUGCAAGUCGAGGGGAAACGAUAGAGAAAGCUUGCUUUUUCUAGGCGUCGACCGGCGCACGGGUGAGUAACGCGUAUCCAACCUGCCCACCACUUGGGGAUAACCUUGCGAAAGUAAGACUAAUACCCAAUGAUAUCUCUAGAAGACAUCUGAAAGGGAUUAAAGAUUUAUCGGUGAUGGAUGGGGAUGCGUCUGAUUAGCUUGUUGGCGGGGUAACGGCCCACCAACGCUACGAUCAGUAGGGGUUCUGAGAGGAAGGUCCCCCACAUUGGAACUGAGACACGGUCCAAACUACUACGGGAGGCAGCAGUGAGGAAUAUUGGUCAAUGGACGAGAGUCUGAACCAGCCAAGUAGCGUGCAGGAUGACGGCCCUAUGGGUUGUAAACUGCUUUUAUAAGGGAAUAAAGUGAGUCUCGUGAGACUUUUUGCAUGUACCUUAUGAAUAAGGACCGGCUAAUUCCGUGCCAGCCGCCGCCGUAA